AUUCCAGCUCCAAUAGCGUAUAUUAAAGUUGUUGCAGUUAAAAAGCUCGUAGUUGGACUUCUGGCACGCUGCGCCUGGCCCGCCCGCGUUAGCGGUGUGAGUGCCGGUUUUGCGCGGUUGCCAUCCUUCGGGGAAUCCGGCCUGCCCUUCAUUGGGUUGGGUCGGCGCCCCCGAUCGUUUACUUUGAAAAAAUUAGAGUGUUUAAAGCAGGCAAUUGCUGUGAAUACAUUAGCAUGGAAUAAUAAUAUAGGACUUUGGUUCUAUUUUGUUGGUUUCUAGGACUAAAGUAAUGAUUGAUAGGGAUGGUUGGGGGUGCUAGUAUUGAGCGGCCAGAGGUGAAAUUCUUGGAUUCGCUCAAGACUAACUUAUGCGAAAGCAUUCGCCAAGGACGUCUUCAUUG
rnacentral:rRNA from 1 species